rnacentral:rRNA from 1 species
AACGAACGCUGGCGGCAUGCCUAACACAUGCAAGUCGAACGAGACCUUCGGGUCUAGUGGUGCACGGGUGCGUAACGCGUGGGGACCUGCCUUUAGGUUCGGAAUAACUCCCCGAAAGGGGUGCUAAUACCGGAUAAUAUACUCGGACCAAAGAUUUAUCGCAUUUGGAUGGGCCCGCGUUGGAUUAGCUAGUUGGUAGGGUAAAAUCCUACCAAGGCGACGUGCCAUAGAUGGUCUGAGAGGAUGGUCAGCCACACUGGGACUGGGACACGGCCCAGACUCCUACGGGAGGCGGCAGUGGGGAAUAUUGGACAAUGGGCGAAAGCCUGAACCAGCUAUGCCGCGUGAGUGAUGAAGGCCUUAGGGUUGUAAAGCUCUUUUACCCGGGAUGAUAAUGACAGUACCGAGAGAAUAAGCUCCGGCUAACUCCGUG